UACAGAGGUCUCAAGCGUUGUUCGGAUUCAUUGGGCGUAAAGGGUGCGUAGGUGGCGCGGUAAGUCGGGUGUGAAAUCUCGGAGCUUAACUCCGAAAUUGCAUUCGAUACUGCCGUGCUCGAGGACUGGAGAGGAGACUGGAAUUCCUGGUGUAGCGGUGAAAUGCGCAGAUAUCAGGGGGAACACCGGUGGCGAAGGCGGGUCUCUGGGCCGAUACUGACGCUGAGGAGCGAAAGCGUGGGGAGCGAACAGG
rnacentral:rRNA from 1 species